AUGGGUCAGCGACUUAUAUUCUGUAGCAAGGUUAACCGUAUAGGGGAGCCGCAGGGAAACCGAGUCUUAACUGGGCGUUAAGUUGCAGGGUAUAGACCCGAAACCCGGUGAUCUAGCCAUGGGCAGGUUGAAGGUUGGGUAACACUAACUGGAGGACCGAACCGACUAAUGUUGAAAAAUUAGCGGAUGACUUGUGGCUGGGGGUGAAAGGCCAAUCAAACCGGGAGAUAGCUGGUUCUCCCCGAAAGCUAUUUAGGUAGCGCCUCGUGAACUCAUCUUCGGGGGUAGAGCACUGUUUCGGCUAGGGGGUCAUCCCGACUUACCAACCCGAUGCAAACUACGAAUACCGAAGAAUGUUAUCACGGGAGACACACGGCGGGUGCUAACGUCCGUCGUGAAGAGGGAAACAACCCAGACCGCCAGCUAAGGUCCCAAAGUCAUGGUUAAGUGGGAAACGAUGUGGGAAGGCACAGACAGCCAGGAUGUUGGCUUAGAAGCAGCCAUCAUUUAAAGAAAGCGUAAUAGCUCACUGGUCGAGUCGGCCUGCGCGGAAGAUGUAACGGGGCUAAACCAUGCACCGAAGCUGCGGCAGCGACACUAUGUGUUGUUGGGUAGGGGAGCGUUCUGUAAGCCUGCGAAGGUGUGCUGUGAGGCAUGCUGGAGGUAUCAGAAGUGCGAAUGCUGACAUAAGUAACGAUAAAGCGGGUGAAAAGCCCGCUCGCCGGAAGACCAAGGGUUCCUGUCCAACGUUAAUCGGGGCAGGGUGAGUCGACCCCUAAGGCGAGGCCGAAAGGCGUAGUCGAUGGGAAACAGGUUAAUAUUCCUGUACUUGGUGUUACUGCGAAGGGGGGACGGAGAAGGCUAUGUUAGCCGGGCGACGGUUGUCCCGGUUUAAGCAUGUAGGCUGAUUGUCCAGGCAAAUCCGGAUAAUCAAGGCUGAGGUGUGAUGACGAGGCACUACGGUGCUGAAGUAACAAAUGCCCUGCUUCCAGGAAAAGCCUCUAAGCAUCAGGUAACAUUAAAUCGUACCCCAAACCGACACAGGUGGUCAGGUAGAGAAUACCAAGGCGCUUGAGAGAACUCGGGUGAAGGAACUAGGCAAAAUGGUGCCGUAACUUCGGGAGAAGGCACGCUGGUGUGUAGGUGAAGUCCCUGCGGAUGGAGCUGAGACCAGUCGAAGAUACCAGCUGGCUGCAACUGUUUAUUAAAAACACAGCACUGUGCAAACACGAAAGUGGACGUAUACGGUGUGACGCCUGCCCGGUGCCGGAAGGUUAAUUGAUGGGGUUAUCCGUAAGGAGAAGCUCUUGAUCGAAGCCCCGGUAAACGGCGGCCGUAACUAUAACGGUCCUAAGGUAGCGAAAUUCCUUGUCGGGUAAGUUCCGACCUGCACGAAUGGCGUAAUGAUGGCCAGGCUGUCUCCACCCGAGACUCAGUGAAAUUGAACUCGCUGUGAAGAUGCAGUGUACCCGCGGCAAGACGGAAAGACCCCGUGAACCUUUACUAUAGCUUGACACUGAACAUUGAGCCUUGAUGUGUAGGAUAGGUGGGAGGCUUUGAAGCGUGGACGCCAGUCUGCGUGGAGCCAACCUUGAAAUACCACCCUUUAAUGUUUGAUGUUCUAACGUUGGCCCCUUACCGGGGUUGCGGACAGUGUCUGGUGGGUAGUUUGACUGGGGCGGUCUCCUCCCAAAGCGUAACGGAGGAGCACGAAGGUUAGCUAAUCCUGGUCGGACAUCAGGAGGUUAGUGCAAUGGCAUAAGCUAGCUUGACUGCGAGCGUGACGGCGCGAGCAGGUGCGAAAGCAGGUCAUAGUGAUCCGGUGGUUCUGAAUGGAAGGGCCAUCGCUCAACGGAUAAAAGGUACUCCGGGGAUAACAGGCUGAUACCGCCCAAGAGUUCAUAUCGACGGCGGUGUUUGGCACCUCGAUGUCGGCUCAUCACAUCCUGGGGCUGAAGUAGGUCCCAAGGGUAUGGCUGUUCGCCAUUUAAAGUGGUACGCGAGCUGGGUUUAGAACGUCGUGAGACAGUUCGGUCCCUAUCUGCCGUGGGCGCUGGAGAAUUGAGGGGGGCUGCUCCUAGUACGAGAGGACCGGAGUGGACGCAUCACUGGUGUUCGGGUUGUCAUGCCAAUGGCACUGCCCGGUAGCUAAAUGCGGAAGAGAUAAGUGCUGAAAGCAUCUAAGCACGAAACUUGCCCCGAGAUGAGUUCUCCCUGAGACUUUAAGUCUCCUGAAGGAACGUUGAAGACGACGACGUUGAUAGGCCGGGUGUGUAAGCGCAGCGAUGCGUUGAGCUAACCGGUACUAAUGAACCGUGAGGCUUAACCUU
rnacentral:rRNA from 1 species